rnacentral:rRNA from 1 species
AAAGUUAGAGGUUCGAAGGCGAUCAGAUACCGCCCUAGUUCUAACCAUAAACGAUGCCAGCCAGCGAUCCGGCUGUGUUCCUCAAAUGACACGCCGGGCAGCUUCCGGGAAACCAAAGCUUUUGGGUUCCGGGGGAAGUAUGGUUGCAAAGCUGAAACUUAAAGGAAUUGACGGAAGGGCACCACCAGGAAUGGAGCUUGCGGUUUAAUUUGACUCAACACGGGACAACCUACCCGGCCCGGACACAGGAAGGAUUGACAGAUUAAGAGCUCUUUCUUGAUUCUGUGGGUGGUGGUGCAUGGCCGUUCUUAGUUGGUGGACUGAUUUGUCUGGUUAAUUCCGUUAACGAACGAGACUCUAGCCUACUAAAUAGACGUUCCGAUUAUUUAUUUUUCGGACGUUCUUCUUAGAGGGACAAUCGGCGCUUAGCCCGAUGAGACAGAGCAAUAACAGGUCUGUUAUGCCCUUUGAUGUCCGGGGCCACACGCGUGCUACAUUGAAGGAAUCAGCGUGUGCUUUCCCUGUCCGACAGGACUGGGUAACCCGUUGAACCUCCUUCGUGCUGGGGAUAGGGGCUUGUAAUUAUUCCCCUUGAACGAGGAAUUCCUAGUAAGCGCGAAUCAUUCAGUUCGUGUAGACUAAGUCCCUGCCCUUUGUCCACACCGGCCGUCGUUACUACCGAUGGAAUGAUUUAGUGAGGUCUUCGGACUGGCGCUCGGAGCGGCCUUCGGGUCGCGCCGGCGUGCCGGAAAGAUGACCAAACUUGAUCAUU